rnacentral:rRNA from 1 species
AUUGAACGCUGGCGGCAUGCCUUACACAUGCAAGUCGAACGGUAACAGGGAGCUUGCUCCGCUGACGAGUGGCGAACGGGUGAGUAAUGUAUCGGAACGUACCUUUUAGUGGGGGAUAACGUAGCGAAAGUUACGCUAAUACCGCAUAUUCUCUGAGGAGGAAAGCAGGGGACCUUCGGGCCUUGCGCUAAUAGAGCGGCUGAUAUCAGAUUAGCUAGUUGGUGAGGUAAAGGCUCACCAAGGCGACGAUCUGUAGCGGGUCUGAGAGGAUGUUCCGCCACACUGGAACUGAGACACGGUCCAGACUCCUACGGGAGGCAGCAGUGGGGAAUUUUGGACAAUGGGGGCAACCCUGAUCCAGCCAUGCCGCGUGAGUGAAGAAGGCCUUCGGGUUGUAAAGCUCUUUCGGCCGGGAAAAAAUCGCAUGGGUUAAUACCCUGUGUGGAUGAUGGUACCGGAAUAAGAAGCACCGGCUAACUACGUGCCAGCCGCCGCCGUAACAC